rnacentral:rRNA from 1 species
CUCAGGACGAACGCUGGCGGCGUGCCUAAGCUUAUGCAAGUCGAACGCGAACGGCUCCUUCGGGAGCCUAGUAGAGUGGCAAACGGGUGAGUAACGCGUGGGUAACGUACCCUGAUCCUGGGAAUAACCCUCGGAAACGAGGGCUAAUACCGAAUGUGGCGAACGACCGGUUGGUCGCUCGCCAAAGGUGGCCUCUUCUAUGCUGCCGGGUUGGGAUCGGCCCGCGUCCCAUUAGCUAGUUGGUGAGGUAACGGCUCACCAAGGCCACGAUGGGUAGCCGGCCUGAGAGGGUGUACGGCCACACUGGCACUGAGACAAGGGCCAGUCCCCUAUGGGAGGCGCAGGCGGGAAUAGUUCACAAUGGGCGAAAGCCUGAUGACGCGACGCCGCGUGAGCGAAGAAGACCUUCGGGUUGUAAAGCUCUGUCAGGAGGGAAGAAGGCUCUACGGGUUAAUAGCCCGUGGAAUUGACGGUACCUCCAGAGGAAGCCCCGGCUAAAUACGUGCCAGCAGCCGCGGUAAUACGUAUGGGGCAAGCGUUGUCCGGAUUUACUGGGCGUAAAGGGCGCGUAGGCGGUUUGUUAAGUCGAAGGUGAAAUCCUCGGGCUCAACUCGAGAAUUGCCUUCGAUACUGGCAAACUAGAGUGGCGGAGAGGAAAGCGGAACUCUUGGUGUAACGGUGGAAUGUGUAGAUAUCAAGAGGAACACCGGUGGCGAAGGCGGCUUUCUGGACGCACACUGACGCUCAGGCGCGAAAGCGUGGGUAGCAAACAGGAUUAGAUACCCUGGUAGUCCACGCCAUAAACGAUGGGUACUAGGUGUCGGGGGUAUCGANCCCUCCGGUGCCGCAGUUAACGCACUAAGUUACCCGNCUGGGGAUUAUGGUC